AAAAAAAAAAAAAAAGGUGAGAAACAGGUCACCAGAGUUUCCUCUCUUUCCCCUCAAUUCCACUAGAGGGAUGGGGUUUCCUUCUCAGAAGGAGUUACUUCUUAUCACCAAGUUGUCUUAAUUCGGCCAAAUUAAACUUUCUAGACAGUUGAGAUAUCACUUUGUAGAUUAGGGCAAUUUAGCCUUUGUUUCAGAUCAGUAAUAAUGAUAGUAGUGUUGCUGCUACCACCUCCACUACCAAGCAGCAGACAGUUUAGUGA
rnacentral:misc_RNA from 1 species